rnacentral:ncRNA from 1 species
AUCACAUCCUGGGGCUGGAGAAGGUCCCAAGGGUUGGUCUGUUCGCCCAUUAAAGUGGUACGUGAGCUGGGUUCAGAACGUCGUGAGACAGUUGAGUUCGAUGACAUAUCGGACUGACAUGGAGCUGUCUCUCCAUUUAGGCGUUUUGAAGUUAAGAGGAAAUCUUUUUGUCAAAUUUGAAUGAAUGGAUAUAAAUCUAGCUAUAUGCUGGAAAAUCUUGUUAAAUAGUAAAGUACUGGUAUAUAUUUUUAUUACCAGUAAAAAUCUUUACUCUGAGAUUAUCAGCAGGAAAGGCCUUAUGAGAGAAAUUAUCUUAUAAGGAAUCCUCACAGGCCAUACGCUAGAAUCCCGUAAAAAGGGAUAAGAUAUGGUCGGAUCCUUACGGCGACGUAGGGUGCUAACAGAAAACUAGAAAUUUGUUAGCUUCCAUUUUUUGGAAAACAAUAAUGUCGGACUCUAUCCGGUGGAAGCGUUGAGUCUUGAAGGGAGCUGGCCUCAGUACGAGAGGACCAGGCUGGGGGAAUCCCUAGUGUGCCGGUUGUCGCAUCAGCGGCAACGCCGGGUAGCUACAUUCCCAAGGGAUAACCGCUGAAAGCAUCUAAGUGGGAAGCCCCCCCUAAGAUUAGGACUCGUUAUAGACCCCUGGAAGAAUACCAGGUAUUAUCGGCAGGAAGUGGAAGAGCAGCAAUGCUUUAAGCUUACCUGUACGAAUCGGUCGAGAGAAUUAAAAUU